CUUCCAUGUUCCAUCAAGCAGCCAUUGACGCCUGCGAAGCAGUACUCUAUAUUCUUCCCCAGGUUACUUUUCCUUUGUGAAUUGCCUAGUUCACGACAGCAAUGAGUAAACACGUCGUACACCACCGGCAAUCUGGUAUACAUCGAGAGAAGAACAUCGUCCGACUCCAAAGAACUUGAAAUUAGCUACAUAUAAAACAUCAUAGAAUAAAAAUUGGACUCGCACGUAUAAGCAGUUUUGUUUUGUUUUGUUUUUUUGUUUUUCUUGACUGCUCACCCAAAAUUCACAAAAAGAGAGGUGUAGUAUGGUUUUUUUUUUUUUGCGAGACGUGUAGUUGUCGAUGAUAAUAAAAGUCAUAUCGAGAUACGGCAUCUUAUAAAGUUCGUUCUGCAAAAAAUAUAAUACCUUAAAUUAUAUAAAGCUAUUAUUAAAAUUUAAAAGCUAUGUCCUUUUUCCGCUUUCAAAGCCAAUCGGCCCAAAUCCAAUUCCCCACUUGAUUCUACAGCAAUUGGGUGUUUUACAAAAAUUUGGUGGUUAGUUUUUCUGUUUCUAAAGAGAAUUUGGGAUCGGGAUGUGAGAAGCGGUGAGGGAGAGGGAGAAAGACAUCGAUGGCACGGGGCAUGGAGGUGGUGCCCGCGGACCCCGGUGCCGCGGUGGUUCCGAAGAAGAAGAGCCAGAUGCUGGCUAGGAGCUGGAUACUGUUGGACUGUACGGGGGAACGGACCGUCCUGGACGUCGACAAGUACGCCAUCAUGCACCGCGUCCACAUCCAUGCUCGCGAUCUCCGAAUCCUCGACCCCUUGUUGUCCUACCCCUCCGCCAUCCUCGGCCGCGACAGGGCCAUCGUUCUCAACUUGGAGCAUAUCAAGGCAAUUAUCACUGCUGAAGAGGUAUUGCUUCGGGAUCCAACGGAUGAAAAUGUUGUCCCUGUCGUUGAGGAACUUCAAAGGCGUUUACCUCCUGUCAAUGCUAUUCGCCAAGGUCAACCCAACGGAAAAGAGUACCCAGGUGGGCAAAAUGAUGUCGAGGCCAGUGAAGAAGAUGAGUCUCCAUUUGAGUUCCGGGCCCUGGAGGUAGCUUUGGAAGCUAUUUGUAGUUUCCUUGCCGCCCGUACAACAGAAUUGGAGAGUGCUGCAUAUCCUGCACUUGAUGAGCUGACGUCUAAAAUUAGUAGCCGUAACUUGGACAGGGUUCGCAAAUUAAAGAGUUCAAUGACCAGGUUGACUGCUCGGGUCCAAAAGGUUAGAGAUGAACUUGAACAACUACUCGAUGAUGAUGAUGAUAUGGCUGACCUUUACUUGUCGAGAAAGUUGGCUGGUGCAUCUUCACCAGUUAGUGGCUCUGGUGCUGCCAGUUGGUUUCCUGUCUCCCCAACCAUUGGCUCAAAGAUAUCCAGAGCAAGUAGAGCAAGUAUGGCCACAGUCCGGGGAGAUGAGAAUGAUGUUGAGGAGCUUGAAAUGUUACUAGAGGCUUACUUUAUGCAAAUUGAUGGCACAUUGAACAAAUUAACCACGUUGAAAAAACCAUGAAGGGCAGAUGCUAGUAAUCAGUGACUGCUGCGAGAAUACAUUGAUGAUACAGAAGAUUACAUCAAUAUUCAGCUCGACAAUCAUCGAAAUCAGCUGAUUCAGUUGGAGCUCUUUCUAAGUUCUGGAACUGUUUGUAUAUCGAUCUUUUCUUUGGUGGCCGCAAUAUUUGGCAUGAACAUCCCGUAUACUUGGAAUGAGAACCAUGGAUAUAUGUUUAAAUGGGUGGUCAUUGUCACGGGAAUCAGUUGUGCUUUUCUCUUUCUACUAAUUGUUUAUCAUGCUUGCCACAAAGGAUUGAUUGGAUCUUGAAUUCAUACUCACACGUACUAAAGUAUUCCUGCUGGAAAGGAGUCUCGAGCUUGAGCACUAUGACUCGCUUAUCAUGCGUGGUAUAGUAAAUUACUUUGCUCAAUCUCUCUCUCUAGUUUAAAGUUUCAACAAGGAUCGCCUCAUGUGCCUAUGGCAGCUGGGUUUUAAUACAAAGGGAGGAACAUGGCGAGUUAGCUAAUUUAUGAACAAUCUGAUUUAUUGAUGUUAGGAGGAGCCAACUCAUAUAAGUGUAAAAACAGUCGGCUGAGUAAUUUAUUGUUCCAAUUUUGAUUCACAUUCUUUCUUAUUGUUCUUUGUAAACAUCAGUAUUUGGUUGAAAUGUUGAACAUAAGGUGAAUGCUAACCGCAAUAUAUUUGUAAUGAGUUACAUUUUUAAGACUUUUGCAAUGGUUCUCUGA